UACGUAGGUGGCAAGCGUUGUUCGGAAUUAUUGGGCGUAAAGGGCGCGUAGGCGGUUUGUUAAGUCGGUCGUGAAAUCCCGGGGCUCAACCCCGGGACUGCAUUCGAUACUGCCGGGCUAGAGGUAGGUAGGGGAGAUCGGAAUUCCUGGUGUAGCGGUGAAAUCCGUAGAUAUUAGAAGGAACACCGAUGGCGUAGGCAGUCGUACUGGCUCAUUCUUGACACUAAGGCACGAAAGCGUGGGGAGCAAACGGG
rnacentral:rRNA from 1 species